ensembl:lncRNA
GCUAAUGAGGGAGGCCCCGCCCCCUAGCGCCGCGGGCCGCGCUUUUGUCCGGCGGGGCCGGGGAGGAUCGGAACCGGGACCGGGAUCGGAGCCGGGAUCGGAGCCGGGACCGGGACCGGGAUCGGUGCUGGCAUCGGGAUCGGCACCGGAGCCGCCCAGCGCCGGCCGGGCCCUGCCUACAGGACGCGGCGGCGAUGCUGUGACCUACAUUCGCGACAAGGAGGUCCCCAGCCCGCCGCCACCGCCGCCGGGCCAUGAAGCGACACAAGUGACAGGGCUGGGCGGCCGCGGCCAUGGCCAGCCCGGCACCAUGGCUGCGCUGGACACAAACAGAGCUGACGCGCUGGCCCGGCCAGGAGGAGGAGGAGGAGGAGGAGGAGGAGGAAGACGACUUUGAAAGGCGGAUGGACGAGGAUGGGGUGAUUGGCCUGGGGGAGGGUGCCAGGAGCCCACCGUGGGGUGACAGUGAGGACCUGGAGGAGGGGUCCCCGGCAGAGGAGGGACGCUGGCACCCGCGGCAGGACCCGGCCGAGGAGGAUGAGGAGCGGGGCAGCUCCGGGGGGGACGAGGGGCCCUGGGGGGCAGAGAGCGAUGGGGACCCCUACCCCGAGCUGUCCCCUGGGGGCUGCUGGGGCUCGGGCUCCAGCGGCAGCCCCGAAGCGGUGAGGGACGGCCGGGCUCUCUGCCAGCCCCGGGGCUGCAGCACGGACCGGGGGGACACCUCAGGGCUCUCGGACACCAGCCCUGGCCCUGGCACCCCGUCCCGCCAGCACCAGGACUGGGGCACGGCCGCGGACACCAUCGGGGGGCACAGGCAGGAGUGGAGCCCGAGAC